UGGGGAAUAUUGGACAAUGGGCGCAAGCCUGAUCCAGCCAUGCCGCGUGGGUGAAGAAGGCCUUCGGGUUGUAAAGCCCUUUUGGCGGGGACGAUGAUGACGGUACCCGCAGAAUAAGCCCCGGCUAACUUCGUGCCAGCAGCCGCGGUAAGACGAAGGGGGCAAGCGUUGUUCGGAAUUACUGGGCGUAAAGGGCGCGUAGGCGGCCCGAUGAGUCAGACGUGAAAGGCCUGGGCUCAACCUAGGAAUUGCGUUUGAUACUGUUGGGCUAGAGAGCGGGAGAGGAUGGUGGAAUUCCCAGUGUAGAGGUGAAAUUCGUAGAUAUUGGGAAGAACACCGGUGGCGAAGGCGGCCAUCUGGACCGUAUCUGACGCUGAGGCGCGAAAGCGUGGGGAGCAAACAGGAUUAGAUACCCUGGUAGUCCACGCUGUAAACGAUGAGUGCUGGACGUUGGUGGGCUUGCCUGCCGGUGUCGCNGCUAACGCGUUAAGCACUCCGCCUGGGGAGUACGGCCGCAAGGUUG
rnacentral:rRNA from 1 species